UACGAGUACCCCGAGCGUUAUCCGGAAUUAUUGGGCGUAAAGGGUGUGUAGGUGGUUGUAUUAGUCUUUCGUUAAAUCCUGGAGCCUAACUUCAGAAUCGCGAGAGAAACGGUACGACUAGAGGAUGCGAGAGGUGUACGGAACUCUAUGUGUAGGGGUGAAAUCCGUUGAUAUAUAGGGGAACACCAAAAGCGAAGGCAGUACACUGGCGCACUCCUGACACUGAAACACGAAAGCGUAGGUAGCGAAUGGG
rnacentral:rRNA from 1 species